UACUGAACUCAGGUGGGAGUGUGGGCGUCCCUCUCUGCUGGGGCUUGGCAAGGUAGUCCACCGAAUCUAAUUGGAAACUUAAGUUUCUAUUUACAAAGGAACUUAUGUUCCUUUACUCUCAUCGCCCAACCUUGGGCCAAAAAAAAAAAAAUCGUCGUACCAUGGAGAAGUGUGGCAGGAUACAGCUCAUGGUGUGAGUGGCCCUGAUAAACCCAACAAAGAGAGAACCUUAACAACGUCAACACCAACAAGAAGCUUCUUUCUCACGUCUCUAGCAACUACACAACAUUAAACUGAUUUAGUGUAGGUCCCGUAGAACUACAGCUUUGAAGCCAGAGUCGGUCCCAUAGUACUACACCAAAAUUCUAGCAGCUUCAGAUUUGGUGGGAGAAAGCUGGUAGGCCUACAUAUGAGAGAAUGGAUUUGCAUGGUCAGUGCGUGCAGUAUACAGAAAAUCAAGGUGGCCACAGUACAUUGUGGGAACGCCAUUUCAGUACCUUUGUUCACCAUGCAUCACAGUCAGAAAAACCUUACUCCCGGCAAAUUGGGAAUCUUCUCUUCCCAAGUGAUAGUUCUAACACGGAUGAAGGUGGAAGUGAAGAUGAAUUUUAUGGUUUUGAGUUUGUGACUGAAAGCAACACUCAGAAUACCAGAAAUAGUGCUGAAAACCCAGACGACCCUCAGCCUUCCACCUCUGGGGCUGGUCCAUCUCAUUCUCAUUCAGGUGUACCACAGCACAAGUGUAAGCUCAUGUUUUCCCGUGGCCAGGACUCAGAUGUGAGCAGUGGUGGUGAUGAUAGUGAUGUUGACAGUGAUUUCCUUGCUUUUGAUUACCAUUCCAGUAGCGACACUGAAGAGGAAUAUUCACCAGUGAAGCGCCGAUUUAUACGCCGCAUGCGUUCUAGUGGUGUACCAUAUGCUGUUCCAAGGGAAAAGAGCACAUCCUGUGGCCCUACACCAGGAACAGAUAGUGAAAGUGACGAUGAUAUAGUUACAGUUGGGAUGGAUAAUAUACAUGGGGCAGUAGGUGGUAGUGGUAGUAUCAUGCAUCAUGCAGCACCAACAGCACAACCAAGACCAGUCUCAACUACCCACACACCACAGCAAACUGCACAACCACCACCACCUGUUAACAUCCAGUACCCACCAGCAGACCGCAUCUGGGAUUGGCAGCAAGGUGCCAAUUUUGUUCCCAAUCCCCACCACUUUGAUGAAACUCAGAGUGGAAUACGGCCAUCUUGUACACUUGGAAACAAUGCCACUGAACUGGAAUGUUUUGAAUUAUUCUUUGAUGAACCCCUGAUGGAAAUUAUAGUCAGGGAAAGUAACACAUACUUCGAUUACACCAUGGCAAACACACUUGUUUCACCAAAAUCACGACUACACCAGUGGAAGGAGACAACUGUGGCUGAGAUGUAUCUGCUCCUUGCCACAAUAAUGGUUAUGCCACAUGUAUAUAAGCAUAAUGUCAAGUCAUACUGGUCGACAGACCGCCUAAUUUCAACCCCAGCUUUCAGUGAUAUUAUGUCAGUGAACCGAUUUGUCCUACUGUUACGUAUGCUACACUUCUCAGACAAGACAAGGCCUGACAGAAAUGACAGGUUAUACAAGAUUAGGAAUGUGUUUAUGUAUCUGAAACAAAAGUUCAGUAUGUAUUUUUAUCCCUUCAGGAAGCUUGUUAUUGGUGAGUCUUUGAUUCUCUUCAAAGGUAGACAGUCGUUCAAGCAUUAUAUACCAAGCAAGAAGAAACGCUUUGGUAUCAAGUUGUUUGUACUCUGUGAUUGCUACAGUGGUCUUGUAUUGGAUAUAAUUGUGUACACUGGAAGUAAUACGUUGAAAGAUACCAGGAGGUUAUUGGGUAUCUCAGGUGAUGUGGCGAGAACAAUGAUGGAACCAUAUCUUGGUAAGGGGCAUACAUUAUAUACUGAUAACUGGUACACAAGCCCCUUGCUCAGUGAUUUCUUGCGAGUGAACAUGACAGACAUGUGCGGGACAGUGCAUGGAAAUCGUAAGCAUAUGCCCAAGUUCAGUACAGACACUCAUAGAGGUGAGGUGCAGGUGUUUGCUGCCAAUGACAUCAUGGCAUUUCGGUGGCAUGACAAACGAGAUGUCACAUUGUUGACAUCAGUCCACCAAAACAAAAUGACAGAUAGUGGCAGGCAGAAUAGAGAGACCAAUAAACCCAUUUUAAAACCUGCUGCUCUGAUGGAUUACACCCUCAAUAUGUAUUCAGUGAACAAAUGUGACGUGCAGAUUGGGUUUGCUGAUUGUGUUCGCAAGAGUUAUAAGUGGUACAUGAAACUCUUUUUCCAUCUUGUGGACAUUUCCAUGCUCAAUGCUUAUAAUAUGUAUAAAAUGAGGACCAGAAACAAACCACCAUAUAGUGAAUUUUGUUUGUCUGUCAUCAGACAAAUAAUAUUUAAGUACCAGGUAACAACACCUGCAAUACAAAACCGCCUACGAACUGAUCACCAAAUGCCCUCUCGUUUGAGGCCUGGUGAUCAUUUCCUAAUACAAUUGCCUUCUACUAAGAAGAAAUCUGCACAGAAGAGGUGUUUUGUCUGUGCACAUACAACAAAACGCCCACAAAAACGCCGAGACACUCGUUUUAUGUGCGAGGAGUGUAAAACACCACUGUGCAUUACACCAUGUUUCAAAGAGUUUCACAAACUCCAGCAGUUCUAGGAACCUGUCCAGUGAUUCUAUAUGUGUAUAUAUAGAAAUAUAUAUAUAUAUUGUAGAACAUUAGUAAUAAGCAACAUUCUUACUUGUUUUUAUGUGUAAACAAGUUUUGUAAACAAUAUAAUUUUGACUAUUUGUGCGGUUAUUGUGUUGCAUACAAAGAGUGGAUGUGUAUACAUUAUGCAUUAUAUUGGUCUUACAGGCCACAAAAGUUACUUGAAAAAAUAAAAUAUUAAAAAAGCAAAGAAAAAAUAGAAUACAAGUAAAAAAAAAAUUACGGAGUGAGCAGCAGGCACCGAUGUUACCGUCAGCCAGUCACCCUGUCAACUUCACGCCUCUGUAUCUCGAUGUAGUGUGUGUGUGUGUGUGUGUGUGUGUGGACCUCUGGGAUGUGUCAGAGGCGAUUUUCGUGCAGGAGCUCGCUGACACACUGGAUGAGUUUACAUCUUAAUCAAGAACAUGUUUAUAAUGGAUCAACUAGAGAAUGAGCUGAAGAGACAAAAAAUAAUGCUGCAGUACAAGUUCUCCUUGACUUAUAAUGGGGUUAUGUUCUGAAGAACCCAUAGUAAAUAAAAAAUAUCGCAAGUCGAACAUGAAUAUGAUAUGCUAAAUAAUUAACUACUGUCACUGAAUAAGUCAAUAAACAAACAAUUAAUGUAACUAAAUACAAGUAUUGAAAAGUAAAUAAAUAAUACAAGUUUCAAACUUGCCGCCUUCAUGCUGAGUAAUCAUCUUAAAUUUCAUCCCCAAUGUAGUAAUUGUUUUUACACCAUCGUCAAGUCGAACCAUCGCAAGUCAAGGAGCACCGACAACAACUGUAGUGGGCUUGCAAAUGUAUUUGGGAAGCUGAGGACACUAGGCUGUGUCAUGCUUUGGAGGAUACAGCAACACUGAGUACACAGGAUUGUGAGGACAGCAACUGUGAUGUGGAUGCUGAUGUAAACACGGAUGAAGACAAAACACCCGCUCGCUGAUAAUGAAUAUGUAUUCUGUCUUUGAAAGGUCCUCAGAAGCUGGAUAAACAGGGAGAAUGCAUCAAAUAUUGUCCCUCAGGAUCCCCACACUGAAAGGCAGGAACAGAAAUGUGGCCACCCUUGGGUCUCCAGCAGUGUCCAUGUGCCUGGCAUACAGUUCGCUGAUGAAUCCUGUUGCAUAUAUGCUCCAGCGUCCAAAGGUCUCUGAUCUUAUUGGGACAAAGUAGUACUAAAGGCCCAACUCCCCAUAUUUGCUGAGCUUACAUUUUUUCAUGAUCACUAGCACCACCCUUUUGCCCAACAAAAAUGAAAAGCCGUCCACCUUUUACCCACUCCACUGGCAGCGCUGGGGGUAACUCUUUGUAUCCGGAGGUAGCAGCUCCUGGAGUUGGCCCCAUAACACUGUUGGCAUUCACUUGUGGAACGAGUUCAGCAAGGGGGGAACCAUUGCACCCUGGGGAUGGCUCAAUAGUUGAUGCAACCUCCCAGAAGAAUUGUCCCAUGAUAUAUGACACAGUCGGGCAGAUCAGGAAGCUCUACAACCACUUGCAGCGACGGAAGAUGCACAAAAUAUCAAGACAUAGCCAGGAAGCAUGAAAUGUCAAUUGUGUGACAAGUUAUUAUCUGUAACUAGAUCUGUAAUUAUGUUAGUUAAGGUAGGUUAUGUGCAAAGUGUUUGAUUCUUACACAUUUCCCUCAAGACUCUUAGAGCUGAGUAUUAUUGCUGGCAACCCCCAGAGCUGAGUACUAUUCCAGCUUCCUGGGGAUCCCCAGAACUGAAGAGUUGUUGUCUUCCUGGGGAUUCCAGAGCUGAACAACUGUUGUUUUUCUGGGGACUCCCAGAACUAAACAAUUGUUCUGUCAUCUCGAGGACCCCAGAAUUGAAUAAAUGUUCCAUCUUCCUGGGGACCCCCAGAACUAAACAACUGUUAUCUUCCUGGGCACCCCAGAGCUGAACAACUGUUGUCUUCCUGGGGACCCCAGAGCUAAACUACUGUUGUCUUCCUGGGGACCCCAGAGCUAAACUACUGUUGUCUUCCUGGGGACCCCAGAGCUAAAUAACUGUCAUCUUCCUGGGGACCUCAACACCUGAGCAUUAUUGCAUUUUCAGUGGAAACUGAGAACCUGUUCACGAAACUUGAAGAAUGAAAAUUGGCUGCAUAUCCUCGUCUGCAGGCCCUCUUCACCAUUGAAGAGGACCUCGGAGACUGGAAAAUGCAACUCUUUGUUUCACGUUUUUGCAGUGAUGUGUGACACUUAUGGGUGUAGUUCUUAGUUUUGGUUAUGAUAAUAAUGGUUCAUGUUUUUGAAGAGGGUUUUUCUGUUUCCACUCAACAUUAACCACAAAUCUUUGGCAUGGUCUUCUAACUUGAUGCUCAACGUCUGCUCAUGAUACAAAUCAGGUACUUUGUUAAAUAUGAUCAAAGUAUUACCACUACUACUACCUCUUCUUCUUCUACUACAUCUACUGAUGAAAUUAGACACAUGUGCGGCGUCUGGUUGUCUUUGUUGUGGACGUUUCGCCAUCCAGUGGCUGGCUGGAUGGCGAAACGUCUACGGUGGGGAUGCCCGGGUGUUGUGCAUGUGUCAUUUCAUCCUGUCGGUAUUAUAUACAAUUCUUGCACUACUACUACUACUACUACUACUACUACUACCACUACUACUACCUCUACCUCUUCCUGCCUAUAUAUAGCCGUCCUGCUCCACCUCUGUUAGUGUGACUUUGUCAAUGGUCCAAGUCGGACCGAAACGUCGUCGUAAGCUUCUGUCUUUUAUGUGCGGGUUAUUUGUGUAUUGUGUAAUAUGAUCAAAUAUUUUCAAGCCCUCAAAUAAAGGGAAUGCAAUAAUUUACAUAUAAAAGAACAAAUAUAUUUUCAAAAUAUAUUAAUAAUUUCAAAAUUGGGAUGAGCAUAGCAGAUCUGAUUUUUGCAACAACUAUGAUAUAUUAGAGACAGCAUUUAGUCAAGAUUAAAGUUGUAAAUGUUAAGAAUAAAGAUCAUAUUCUUAGACCUGACUAAGUAAUAAAAUAUUGUACUACUUAGAAAAGUAGCAAUAUUUGGUUGUGUACACACAAAAGGUGUUUAUACAUAUAUACAGUAGGGCUCCACUUUUAUGGCAGGCUAGGUUCCAGGCCACUACUGGAAGCAGACAUUGCUGGAAAGCAGAAUGCCAUUUUUUCCACUUAUAAAUGCAUACAAAUGCCAGAUAACAAGUUUACAUUAACACAUAUUAAGCUGACAGUCGAACUAGGCAUUAAAAAACAAAUGUAAAAUACACACACAGUACAUUCGUUACUGACCUUAAAAUAUUUGAAGUCUUACUGUAGGGUGAGAGGUGAAUAGUAUUUAUUUGUAGGUAGCCAGUAGGUGUAGAUAGGUAUGAUAUUUAAAGCAGCCCAGAGCGAUAAAAUGCACAUACAUUACACUCAUUACUUACCUUAAAAUAUGUAUAAUCUUAAUGUAGAGUGAGAGGAAAGUAGUAUUUAUUUGUACCAAGUCAGGUGUUGGUAGCACGGUAGGUGUAGCCGCCCGGCUACCAGUGUAAUAUACGAUAUUUAAAGUGCCCCAGAGUGAUAUUAUCAUUGACAUACCUUGUUCACUGAGUUUUAUCAUUUCUAAUAACUACCUUUAUAUGCAUCACAAACAACAGAGAAGUGAUGAGAAAUCAUGCUGACAAUUUGUAAACAAAGCUGAAUGCAUUAAACAUGCAUUGAUACACAUUUUCUCUGGUGAUGGACCAGAGAAAACAAUUCUUUUCCUCUCCUCGACUACCACACCUCAUAUUUGUGAAAUUUAUUGUGUUUUGGGUGUAUGUAUCAUGUUUAUGUGCUCUAUAAUGUGUUUUUUACAUAAUUUUGAAGACAGUAUCAUAGAUAAAUUAAUGAAAAUGUUUAUACUAACGUAAAAUAAGGCAUUUAAUGUGCCCAAUAGUGAUUAUUAUUAUUACGUAUUAGUAGUAUUAUUAAUAUGGCAUCAGCGUUAGAGGGACACUCUAGUGAUUUUAAUGUGUUCCUGAACACCAGCACAGUGUGUAAGUUUAUUAGGUACAGGUACACAUAAGUAUAAUUAUCAGAGUACAGUAGACCGUCAUUUAACAGGAGUUUAUUUGGCAAGACUCGGUUAUAGCACGAGUGAGAAUUGCAGCACAAUUUUAUACAACACUUAGGAAAAUUAAUUUAACAUGGUUCAGUUUGCGGGAGGGGGAAUAAAUUUCCCUUUUCCUCAAGCGGCCGCCUUGUUGUGGAUCAGCGGGGGAGACCUCCCAACACCACCAUCCUAGCAUUUUUUGUUCAUAGUUCAUACGUGUCCAGUUCCACUUCUCUGCUACAAGCUAGCUGUGCUUGUGAAUUGUGUUUUGAUCAUUUAAUUACCAUAUCUUGUAUCUGCCAAGCAAUCAUGACACCCAGUAGGCAUACCAGUGUUGCUGAGAGUGGCAAGAAAAGGUAUAAGCAUUUAAGUUUUAGAAUUAUUGAAGAAAACAAAGGUAUUAGACAAGAGAUAACCUAUGGCCAUAAUGAAGCUCGCUUUGUGCACAUAAAAUGAAGUAAACAUGAGUUUGUGUGACUUACUUACUGACUUGACUGAAUGACUGACUGACUGAAUGACUUAAAGUUAGACUUUUUCACUGAAGAGGACCCUGAAAUGGUGUCUAGAGCAGCUGAUGCCUUACCAUCAGUUGUAUAAUGUACUGCAGGGUAAAAUAAAACAAAUCCAUUACAGAUUUUAUAGCACACUCUGGUACAAACAUUGACUUCAGAACCUCUACCAUCCACCUCAGCCCAGUAGGGCCACAGCAUAACUCUCCACUCUCCACAAUCAUCCACAAACACCAGCACCCACAAUUUCUUUUGCAUUUGUAAUCUUAAGCAGUAAAAACAACAUAAUACAUCAUGACAGUGAACUACAGUUACAUAUUCACUUAUUUUUGUAAGAUGUGGAGGUCUGAAUAAUAGUUUGGCUUUUUUAGGGCUUCCAGGAACAUAACCCUAUUUUUCCUGCAAGUUCUUCAGUUCAUCUAACAUGGUUUUACCUAACACAGCAUUUUCAGGAACAUAACUACUGUGUUAAAUGACAGUCUACUGUACAUAUAUAAAGUACACAAUUACUUUAAAACACUUGAAAUUCUAGAAAAUUUCCAGACAUAAUGGAGAGACGUGGAGCUCAGGGAUGUAAACACACUGGGUGGCCUGUGGUGACCAUAUUAGAGAGUCAGGUGGGAGGAGCCAUAUAGAGAGUUUUGGUCAUAAUUUGAAAUGUCUGUAUUAGCGGAAUGCCGUAAAGCGGGGCCCUACUGUAUACAUACACAUAUGUACAUGUACAUAUAUACAUAUCGGGGCCAGGAGCUGUGACUUGACUCCCGCAACCACAAUUAGGUGAGUACAUAUAUACAUACACAUGUGUACAAUAAUUGUGAAGAAGCGAUACAAGAUACAAAACAACCACAUGGAAAGUUGAAUCAUAGCUCUAGGCCUUUUGUGUUUGCAACGUGAAAGGUCUAUCAUUUAACUUCCCCUUUGGCUCACGUGUUCACAUGUAUGCAUGUGUGUGCACACACAAACACACACACACACACACAGUAUGUAUAAUAUUUAAGUAGGAGCUAAGAAUCAAUAUUGCUGACUAAGGUACAUUGUGAAAGAGAUUAUAUAUGCUGGAUAAUAGUAUAGUUAACCCUUUGACUGUUUUCGAUGUAUAAAUACGUCUUACGAGCCAAUGUUUCUGACGUAUAUAUACUCAAUAAUUCUAGCGGCUUCAAAUCAAGCAGGAGAAAGCUGGUAGGCCCACAUGUGAGAGAAUGGGUCUGUGUGGUCAGUGUGCACCACAUAAAAAAAAUCCUGCAGCACACAUUGCGUAAUGAGAAACAAAAAACUGAUCGUUUUUUUUGGAAUAAAACGCCGGCUUUGAGGUGUAUUUUCGUAUAGUAUUUAUCGUUGUAUUCACAUUUUCAUGGUCUUAGGUGAUAAAAUGGAAAACAUAUUACAGAAAU